CAUUGAAAGCGUUACCAUGCCGUUCCCAGCAAGUUCUCGAGCUUGUAGGAAAGUUUCGCGUCUUCCUCCUGGCAUUAAUUUCUUUUUUUCGUUUUUGGUGUUCAAAGUUAUGCAUUAUGCGACUCCGUGCAGCAAUGCUUGUGUCCACGCCGAAGCUAGGAAGACGCGGACAGAAUGACUGAAGACGCCGGAACCACAUUGUGCGACCGUAGCAGAGGACACCGAUGGAAAAGCGCGCUUCGUUACGAAAUAUGGGGCGGCAUAUGGUCAAGCUUGGCGCCCCAGAUUACGCCGGCUGCGAUACCCAGUGAAUUUAUUACUUUAUUCAGCGCGCCACAACCCCCCGGGCAUAUCUGAUUUCUGGUGUGAUAGCAGCGUUUGUGUUGUGUAGCGUUGGCGCUUUUGUUUUCGCUCAUAUCUCGGAACUUUGUGUGAGGGUGCGCGUGAUAUUGUUUGUGCCAGCGUUGACUUUGGUUGUUGAAUACUGAUGAAGAGAGAAAAAAAAAUACGUGGCUGCAAUAAGCGAUUGUGCACCGCCAAGUUGUGGCGCCUUGCAGAGAGAUAUUGCACCUGAAAUCUGACUUCUUCGCACCUUGUGCCAUAUAACAGUUUAUUUUUGUCAUUGCGAAGCUGCAGUGCCUUGUGUGUGAAUUACAGAUGACACAUGAUAGCUCUUUGUUGCUCGCCUGAGCAAGCAAAUGUGCUCUGUUUGAAAUUUACCUUUUCUGUACGGCUUGUUAUGAAUAUCUAGUUCUGUUUUAUCAGUGUACGUGUCUCAUGCUUUCAGUAUAGCAGUUUUCUCACCAUAUUUCUUGUUUUGCUGCUCGUUCCGAUUUGACUCAUCUAUAACUGCGCCUAACUGUGAUGUGUUGACAUGGUAUACCGACAGGCCCAAAUUUCUCGGUUGUUGACACUAAGACGUCAACUUGAUGGGAACGUGUUAAAGAGAAGGCCAGCGUCAUAUGCCUAAUGACAUCAACAUUAACUCUCCACAAGACUAGCAUAUCAAGAUUGUUCAAUUAUUUAUUUAUCUGUUCCAUUUGUUGUCAUUCUACUUUGCCAGUGUCCUUUAGUACAGUUAUGUCCCUUUGUUUAUGCCCUCCAUUUUUUUUACAAUCACGUGUGUCGUAAAUUUUCACUCCUUGCAAUAUUUCUUUAUCCUGUGUCUUUUUUUAUGGUCAUGGGACAUUGCAGAUGUCCACUUAAACGUGAUAUAAUGGCAAUGCCUGCGGCUUUCUUUUUCAUUUUAUCCUUAUGAAAUAGAAGAUAUUAUUUACCUCAAAACUAUUUGUGUUUGGGGUGGCUGCUGGUACUUGUUUAAAGCUGUGGCACUAUAAUGUAUCUCUGCCAACACUGCAAAAUAUUAUUGCAGGUUUAAAAAUAAAAGCAAUAAUAUACCACUGCCAAUCAUUGUGGUGUUAACAGGAUUCGGUCAUCAAAAUGUAUGUGUUAUCGCCACUAUGUUACAAUGUUUGGUAACUCUUUCCUUAGUGCGCUUUAGAAAAUAGUUAACGAUUACUUUUUGACGUAUUGGCAUACAACAUUAAUUUCAGCAUUCUUUAACAAGAAAAGCCUUCCACUGUUUACUUUGAAGCUGCACUUUUAAUUUUAGUUGUAUUUGUUAAUUUUUGCCACCUUGAGGUGUUGUGAAAAUAAAAUUUCAACAGCAUGUAAGACUUAAGUUCGUCUCCAGUUCAUGUUGCAAUUUUAACUGAACAUUGAAGAGCCAUUCACUUUGGCUUAUUUUGCUGCAUAACAGUCGAAUGACAGUGGUUGUGUAGAAUAUGUCAGGUUGCCCAGUUUUCAGCUGUGACUAUUAUGCUGUUUUUGUCAUGGCCUCGAACACUGAUCCAUGUUCGGUGCAGGCAUUCAAGUUUUGUGUUAUUUUCUGUAUCAAAUGUUUUGCACCUCUUUUGUGCUCCAACUGGGUUACAUUUAUUCAUCACGGUUCCACCAGUGUGUAUUCAAAGUGCAGUGCAAAAUUCUACUUGUGUGACUUUUGACUGUUGUUGUGACUUGUUGUGUGCUUGUUGUGUGACACUAGCUCAUUGUUGCUUUCAAUUUGAGCAUCUGCUGGAGCAAGCUGGCAGUUUCAUAUUUUACUGUUUCAGCAUAGACUGUGCAAACAGUUGUAUUCUUUAUUAAGCAUGCUAUAUGGAAUGUGCAGAAGUUUCAGCAGUGCUACCUGGUUAGGUGUCUGAAUAGCUUGGCUUGUUUUAAGAAUGGAGGUUACCUAUAAAAGCAUUUGGUCGAGCUUGAGAAGGGUUGUGGGCAUUCCCUGCUUUUAGUCGCUGCUUCAAAUGCUAAAUUAUUGUGAAACAAAAGGAACCAGAAGCUAUGCUGUGUGUUGAAACAAAUUUUUCUGCACGUUUAGCAGUUUACAUCUGUACAUCUUCGUUAAGGAGCUUAUUCCCACAUAUAGAGUGGGAAUUGCCCAGGGUAACAUCAGUGCAUCAAAAUCGACUAAAUCUUCCUAAGCAUAGUCUAACUUACACAUAUAAGAAUGAGUAAGUGCAUAUGUGGAAUCUUAAAGAUUUGUAUUUCAUUUUUAUGCCGUGCUUUUCAGUGGAAUUGUAUAUGUAUUAUUGUUUUGCUUGUCCUUUUUUUUCUAUGCUUCUUUGAAAUUUUACGAAGAUUUUCUAAAGUUCUUUUGUUGCUUCUUCACCUUCACUCAAAACAUGAAUUCAGCUACACCUUGAUUUAUGACGAGUCUAUGUUGUGGCUAGUAAUUCUCAAGAUAAAAGGAUAAAAAAAUAGAACCACCAGGAAUUGCAGCUUGCACAGUAAGAAAAAGAGUAAUUUUAAACACAGAGUGGUGCCACGACAUUUUGUUAAUUACCACAUAACUACUUGUCAAUUAGAUAGUUGGCUAUACUUCGGAAGCACAUAGCUUUCAGUGUCAUUUUUUAUAAUUAGAUUCCCAUCAUUUAGAGGCAACAGAUGCAUGAGACAAACUGACUACAGCGUGUCAUUGUUCCUCUCUUUUCUUAUUUCCUUACCUUUCGAGCCCCAUAUCCCCUUUUACCAGCAUAAGGUUGGUGAUUAAUCUUGCAACCUUUCCAUUUGCACUUUUGCUUUAUUUGGUGCAGCUGAUGUUUCUUUCAGGACAGUACCUUGAGUUGUAUCUCUGUGCUUGUUAACGUGUGUAUACUUUGAUUACUGCUGAGUAUAUUUAGCAUUAGUCUAUGUGCCAAGUUACAUAUUGUAUGUCUAAUCUGCUUCAUUGGUUACUGUUUGUAUGCCCAUUCACAUGUCUGCACAUUUCUUACUACUUCCUCUCAAUUUUUCUCAUUAACCCAUCUUUGUAGUUAGAGAAGGUCCCCCUCUGUAUUUUCUAAACUCGGGAACCUCCUGUUGUGAUAGGUUCCUACCCUGUACCGAUAACCCCUACCACACGUCUUGAAGUAAGCUUGACUAAUUUAGCUGAUGGAUCCGCUCUUUGUUAGGCUUAGUGCUGAUCAAGCUGGAACAGCCCGACACUGUGCCUCCCUGGCGUCCUCCUGCGGUUGUGCACGAUGGAGCUGCUGAUGCCCUGCGAGCUGACAGGCCCGGUGCUCUCCAAGAGCUGCUGGCACAAGCAGCUGCCAAUGUCACCGGGUCCUCAAUGCCGCCUGCUGGCCUUCAAGCGAAGACCGCACACAAGAGCUCCAUUGUCUACGGCGCGAAAUCUGUGGACGGAAAAAGAGACCACCGCGCUCAUCGACCACUGGCGGGAUCGGCUAAGUGAUUUAAACCAGAAACGCAACGCCAGAGUGUACCACGAAAUUGCUGACGUACUCCUCCUGCAAGGAUUUCGGCGAACAGCUGCAGAGGUUAAGAACAAGAUAAGGAACCUCACUCAGCUGUACCGGCAUUACUUGAGGACAAGCCAAACAGCUCCUUCCAUUGGUGUUGACUGGCCAUACUUCAAGCGAAUCCAGUUGCUUCUGGGUUCUUCCCUGUAAAUGAGCAAACUGUUGAGCAAACUUCAGCCUCGGAAGCGCCGUUGAGGAAGUACCAAGAUUGCAGACGACAAGUGGUUGGAGGGGCAUCACUUACCGCAGUUCUCGUCCGAAGUGCAGCCACUGCUGCUUGGACAUCCCCUGACCAGGGAGGAGCACCACAAGCUCGCAAAGCAGUUCCGCCGCGAGAUCAUCGACUUCCUAAAUGAACACAACUUAAUAACAGACACAAGCAGUGGUGGCCGCCGUUGGAAGUACCACUACCUGGGCCUGUCACUCGCAUUCCAAUUUCCUAAGCUCCAUUGGGACUUCAGAGGAAGCAGAGCAUCCCAUGGUGACCACUCAAAGGCCAAGGCGAAGUUUCUCUCCAAGCUGGCCGAGGCACGCCGUCAUCAGCUUGCCAGAGCGAAGUCGCGAGAAAUUACAGCGCACAUUGAGCCCUCUUCCUGAAACAAGUCAAUCGUCCUAUUUUAACUGGUUGGAAGUACUCAGCAGGAUUCCUUUGGCAUGUCACCUUGGGAAACUGUUCAAGAAGCAGACGAAAGUCCACAUGGAGUGAGCAAGCAACAGUGUUGAUGAAAACUAUGUUCAGCAACUGAGUGACAUGAACAAGGAGUGACCAAGAUACCAUAAACUUAUGUUUUCUAUGUGACAUUUUAUAAAUAUGAAAUAGCAGUAUUAAAUGUUUUGCAUGGU